rnacentral:tRNA from 1 species
GGACCACUAGCUCAGUUGGUAGAGCAGCUGACUCUUAAUCAGCGGGUCUGCGGUUCGAGCCCGCAGUGGUCCACCA